GAACGGUAACAUUGGUUGCUUGCAACCAGAUGACGAGUGGCGCACGGGUGCGGAACGCGUAUCGAACCUGCCCCCUUCAGGAGGAUAGCCCAUGGAAACGUGGAUUAAUACUCCAUAGCGACAUUUCAUCGCAUGAUGAUAUGUUUAAAGAUUUAUCGGAAGGGGAUGGCGAUGCGUACCAUUAGUUAGUUGGUAGGGUAACGGCCUAUCAAGGCAGCGAUGGUUAGGGGCCCUGAGAGGGGGAUCCCCCACACUGGUACUGAGACACGGACCAGACUCCUACGGGAGGCAGCAGUGAGGAAUAUUGGACAAUGGUCGGGAGACUGAUCCAGCCAUGCCGCGUGCAGGAUGACUGCCCUAUGGGUUGUAAACUGCUUUUGUACGGGAAGAAACCUGUCCACGUGUGGACAGCUGACGGUACCGUAAGAAUAAGGACCGGCUAACUCCGUGCCAGCAGCCGCGGUAAUACGGAGGGUCCGAGCGUUAUCCGGAAUCAUUGGGUUUAAAGGGUCCGUAGGCGGGCCUGUAAGUCAGGGGUGAAAGGCCACGGCUCAACCGUGGGACCGCCCUUGAUACUGCAGGUCUUGAGUCAUGGUGGGGUCGCCGGAACAUGUGGUGUAGCGGUGAAAUGCAUAGAUAUCACAUAGAACACCGAUCGCGAAGGCAGGUGGCCAACCAUGAACUGACGCUGAUGGACGAAAGCGUGGGGAGCGAACGGGAUUAGAUACCCCGGUAGUCCACGCCGUAAACGAUGGAUACUAGCUGUCGGGCCUUCGGGCUCGGCGGCCAAGCGAAAGUGAUAAGUAUCCCA
rnacentral:rRNA from 1 species